rnacentral:rRNA from 1 species
CAAUAGCGUAUAUUUAAGUUGUUGCAGUUAAAAAGCUCGUAGUUGGAUUUCGGGUGGGACGCAGCGGUCUCGCAUUGCGUUUGUACUGCUGCAGCCCUCCUUCUUGCCGGGGGCGGCCUCUCGGACUUCACUGUCUGGGGGUCAGAAUCGGCGAUGUUACUUUGAGUAAAUUAGAGUGUUCAAAGCAAGCUUACGCUCUGAAUAUAAUAGCAUGGGAUAACACGACAGGACUCUGGCCUAUCGUGUUGGUCUAUAGGACCAGAGUAAUGAUUAAGAGGGACAGCCGGGGGCAUUCGUAUUCCGUUGUCAGAGGUGAAAUUCUUGGAUUUACGGAAGACGAACAUCUGCGAAAGCAUUUGCCAAGGAUGUUUUCAUUGA